AACAACAGUCCGAAUUUCUUCAACUGGUGGAAGCCGAACAAAUCACAGAAAUUCAAUCGAGAAAUUUCGUCUUCGUCUUCGUUGGUCUUCUACUCUUCUUCGUCUUCUUCAACAUUCAGCUUAAUAUGGCUGAUGAAGACUUCAAGGAGCAGAUUGAGCUUGUGAACUUGUGAACUUGUGGUUGUUUAACUCUAAAACAUUAAGGAUUUGGUUUGUAAUAUUUGGUUUGUAAUAUUUUUAAGUAUGAACUUGGUACUUAGUAGUUAGUAUUAUAUAUGUUAUUGCCAAGUAUGAACUUGGUUGGCUAAGUUUAUUGAAAUUUCAUUGAAUUA